rnacentral:rRNA from 1 species
CUGCUGCCUUCCGUAGGAGUUUGGGCCGUGUCUCAGUCCCAAUGUGGCCGUCCACCCUCUCACGGCCGGCUACUGAUCGUCGCCUUGGUGGGCCGUUACCCCGCCAACAAGCUAAUCAGACGCGGGUCCAUCUUACACCACCGGAGUUUUCACACAAAUCCAUGCGGCUUCGUGCGCUUAUGCGGUAUUAGCACCUAUUUCUAAGUGUUAUCCCCCAGUGUAAGGCAGGUUACCCACGCGUUACUCACCCGUCCGCCACUAAGUA